CUUUGACAUAACAUUUGCAUAGAAGACAUACUUGGUUAAUGUAAAAUGCAUAGUUAUUUGAAGUGUGAAAAGCGGAUACAAAAGAUGUGGCUGAGUGCACUUCCUUCUCAUCCACCAAGCCAUACUUUGGACUAACUAUGGUUCCAAGCAGAGAGACCAGCAAUAGUGAAAUAGUAAAGGCUCAAAGCAGGACCUUGUGUGGCUCUUCCAGGAGCAGCAGAAGGCCAGCUUGGCUAGAACAUGAAGAAACAGAAAAUGAACAGAAAAUUUCUGGAACCGAAUCACUUCUAGAAAUAUUGGGAGUUUCUUGGAUAUUUAAGCUGCAGCUCUGAAACUUACCUGCUAUGUUUUUGGCCCAAAGGCAAUUCUUCAUUAAGUCUUCAGUGUGCAGUGACCCUCUCUGGAUUCUAGUCUGCCUCCUAUUUCAAACUUUGCCACAGUAAGAGAGUUCAGAUAGCAAAGCCACAAAGUGUUAAUAUGAGAUAACCUGGGAGCUUCAGAGAGAGGAAAAGUAAGAAACUUCUUGAUUAGAGAUUGGAACAGGCAAUCAUGUAGAGAACAUUUGGUUGUGAAGAACCAACAGGCAGAGACUUUUCAGCCAUUAUGACAAGCUGCUUUCUUCACAGUUGCUAAGACAACUUCUUGGCUAAAAGAUUUGAAAGGCCUUUGCUGCUAGAUAGACCACUAGGUAAUCUGCUUCAUUGCUUAUUCAUUUAUUUUUCCACUCAUUCAUGUCCUCCAUAACUUAUUCAAUCAGCUCUUUAAGAAUGAUUUUAUUUUGAACAGUAUAAAAAAGUGUUUCCAAUAAUUUAAUGAAUGUUCAAAUUUCCUGGAAAUCUUACAGAAAAGUGGCUUCUAAUUCACAUACUGUAAUUUAACCAAGCUCUCAAUUGAUGAUGACGCCACUUCUGCACGGUAUGAGAAAUGGAACUAAUUUCAUUUCUCUUUUUCCUAAAUUAGUGGUUCUCAAGCUUGUUAGAAAAAUGCAAAUUCUUUGACUCAGGCCAAACUUACUGAAUCUUAGAGUGAGAUCCAGUAUCUCAUAUGUUAUCAAGACCUCCCAUAGAGGUGAUGCAUAUUCACAUUUCAGAACCAGGAAGUGUAGACUCACUUGGAGAGUUUGGAGGUUAAAUUGUGUUCUGAAAAAAAGAUGUGUUAAAGUGCUAAACUUAAAGAUACCUGUGAACAUGCUAUUGUUUGGAAGUAGAAACUGCAGAUAUAAUCAAGCUAAGAUGAGUUCAUACUGAAUAAAGGUGGCUCCUAUAUCCAAUGACUGUUGUCUUUGCAAGGACAAUGGGAUUUUGAUAGACACAGAUGUCUUGAGAUAUGAAGAAGUUCAUGUGACAAAGGAGGCAUAAACUGGAGUGAUGGUGGUCUAAAUGAGGGAAUGCUAAGGAUUGCUAGCCACCACCAGGAGUUGAGAAAGAAGCAUGAGUCUUCCCCACAGACUCUUGAGUGAAUAGAAACCUACCAAAACCAUUAAUUUAGAUGUUUAACCUUCAAAAUUGUGACACAAUACAUUUCAGUUAUUUUUAAAGAAAUAAAUUUGAGGUAGUUUGUCAUGGCAGCCCAGGAAACUAAUAUAGACCUUUGCAAAACUAAACUAAACCAAAACAAAACAAAACACCAUGGUGCUUACUCAAUCAAAUCAGAAUUCCUGAGGAUAGUGUCCCUAUGUGUGAUUUAGAAAUCUCCCUCAGGGAAUUUCAACAUUUAGUCAAAAUAUACAACUCUACACAUUUUUAGACAUGGUUAGACUGUUUAUAGUCUAUUUUGCAAUAAAUCAAAGUGCCAGAAGCAGUUGAAUAUCAUUAUAAUUACGUCUAUGUUUUGUAUAAAAAUCAGUUACUUAGGAAUUAUAUUAUGACAGUAUUUCUCAGACUUUUCUUAGGGUUGGAGUCACCUGCAGUUAAUGUUUAGUAGAAAUGCAGAAUCCUGGGACCACCCUAGCCCUAGUGAGUCAAAGACAGCAUUUAAACAAUUUCCUUG
rnacentral:lncRNA from 1 species